AUAGCACUCAGUUCCUGCAGCUAAUUGACAGUUGUCUGGAGUAGUGAAAUGAACACUAUUCCAUGUCUUUGCCCUUCAGUUUAGGCUAUGGUUACCAGACGUCCCCGUUUCCCAGAUUUACAAAUCUGUCCCCAGACAAAAUCCGUCCCCGGAUUUCAUUUAAUGUCUCCGGAUUUAUAUUUUAAAUUUUGUAGAUUUAUUAGUAGGGAAUGAAUGUUGUGUGAUUGGUUCAACGGCACAAGACACAUCAUAUGGGGAGUUCCGGCGAUGCAAAAUGGCAGGUGCCAUGGCAGCGAGCAGCUCCUGAAGCCAGCCAGAGCCAACUGCACUACCAGGCUGGCUCCAGGCUGCUGAGACUGCUGCUGCCACUGCUGAGGUGGAACCAGGGACGCCCAGUGCAUCAACUGGGGGAACUGCUGACCCCCUCCUGCAACCCAUAUCGAGCCGGGAGCAAGAGUGCCUGGCCACCCAGCCAACUGCCCAGCGGUGCUCCAGGGUAAAAACCCUGGAGCUGACACAGUGAGAAGGAGGAGAGGAGAAGGAGAAGGAAGAGAGAGAAAGAGGAAUGAGAAAAAAGAGGGGAGCCCUGACCUUGCUGUGCUGCUGCCGCCGUUGCCACUAAGGAGGAGAUGUAGGAGAGCACCAGGAGGGCAAGGACACGUGGCCAAGCCCAGGACCCACCCAAGCCUACUCCAUGGCAGCUAGCCCUCCAAGAGAGCAGGCCGGGGCCCAGAGGAAGGCCGUGUGACAGAGGAGACCCCAGAAGAGAUGAUAUUACUUCUUUAUUUAUUUAUUUUAAUAUUUUUUAAAAAAUAAUAAUUUCUGGGGAGGGGGGCUGGCAGAUUCUUUGAAAAAAAUCUGCUAACCUUAGUUUAGGGUCUUGUGCUGAUUCUCUCGCAUGUCAGGUGUGCACACAUCCUACCCAUCCACCCCAACUAAAACAAUACAUGCUGCAACUUAUCAAAACAGAGACUUGUUCACACAAGUGCCCAAGUUGCAAAAAAGAUGGUCUGGCUGGCAAAGUUUCUGAACUGGUGUUUUGGCUCUGUAACUCUGCAACACUCUUGCUUAUGACUGUCUGACUACAUCCGCCUGAUGGUUCAACACUAAACCUCGCUUCUUGCAUCAAUCCGUACCAAUAACAGCCAAACUCUGAAGCAGGGAUUCACGUCCCUCACAAAGCAUUUGAAAGUAGAAGACAGAACUAGAUGGAGCUUCAGUCUGAUGCAGCAGAAGUUAUGUUCUAAGGCUGACUCUUCCAGUAUACAAAUUUGUUUAUUUGUUUAUCAUUCAUGCAUUCAUUUAUGUACUGUUUUUCAAAAAUAAAAUCCUUCCCAAGGUGCCAUGCUCAUUUCAUAAAUUUCUAUAAUGAAUAUUGCAAUUAUCACGGAGACACCUAAUUUGCAGCAUAAGUAAAAAACAUGCACACCAUCUCUCUUUGUUGUUAUUGUUGAUGUUGUUUUUUAUGGAACAAAAUAUAAACGGUGAACAUAUUGUUGUGUAAAUAAACAUUUAUUUAUUAAAGACAUUUAUUAAAUAAGCAUACCAUCUUGGGAAGAAUUUAAUUCUUGAAAGGCAGUGCAGAAAUAAAUAGAUCAAUACACACACACACCAAUUUUAAGCACUGACUUAAUAGCUACUGCACAUGUCUUUCUCCCACAUCAUUCUUUCCUAGAUUACCAAAAGGGAAAGGUGAGUCCUACUGAUUUACCUAACUUAGUCCAGACUACAGAUAUAACAGAAUUCCACUGGAAACAGAAAUGGUAGCGGAAAUUCCUUUUCCAGGAUGAAAAUCAAUCCAGCGAAUACUAAUGGUAAUUGAUGUUGCACUUCCUUUUGGUUUACAAACAAUAUGAAAUUGAAUGGGGUGGAAUUAUGUAAUGUCAAUGUAAUUUGCGUAUCAUAAUUACUUAAUAAUGUAUGUAAAUUAUGUGAUGUUAAGUUCACCACAUCAGACAUUGAGGUGAGUCAUGUAGUUUGGGGCAGAAGAUGAACUGCAGUGGAAUGGAAACCAUGCAGCUUACAAAAAAAUGCAGGGUGGAAUAGAAACUCUUGUAUCCCAUGUCUCACCAGAAUCCUCUGUCUCAACUGCCCAUAUUUCAGUCACCUCACAUCUUUCACAGCUAAGUGUAGCUGCACUUCCAGUUUCUGCCACCGACAUAAAAGCAUCAUGUAGCUAAGUAUAAUUGUGCAUUUGGGAUUCAUUUAAUGAGCCCCAUAAAAUUCAUCCUUUUGUAGAAAAUAAACAAGGCGCAAAUAAUUAUAGUAUCUACAGGAGGCAUUUCUCCUUAUAUUGAAUUACACGGAAGAUGGUGAUGAGUAGAUAGUUAUAAGGCAGUAAACAUAACUUGCUGUUAAAAAAUAACAAUAGUCUAACGUGUGCAGUAGGCUGAGCCAAAGGUGAUUAGACAUUGACAUUUUACUCAUCUCCCCAAAUGUCUUCGCUCUUCACUUUAACAGUUUUAAAGGGCAGUUUGGAGCAGUUUCCUUUCUGGUCAUAAAGACAAUUAGGUGUUUCCUUUAUGCACUUACUUUCAAAGAAAUCUUUAUAUCUCCUGACCUCUGACAUUCACUUGGAAGAUUAUUAUUAUGAUUAUUAUUGAAAUGAAAAUCUUGGGGGAUAUGCUAGUGGAAUCUCCUGAAGCAGUAAUUUUCACAAAUAGUUUUCUGCUUGCUGGCAUUAAUGAAAAAGCAGGAGGGAAAAUAAUGCUUGUUGAAAAGUAAAAACAGAUACCAGAUCUAAUGUGGGACUUUAUUUGCAUCUCAUCCUAGGAAAGAGCUGGGAUGUUAUCUAACUUAGAUUUGGCAGAAACAGCAAAAAAUGCUGCUGUUUUGUUGGAUAAUAGCUUGAGAAGAGACCAGAUCCAGGAGCAGUCUCAGUGUUUAGUCAUCCAGCAACUGUUAGCACACAUGUUGACUGUAGAUUUGGAGUAGAGAUUCCAUGUUGCUGCACCCACGAGAGGCAGAGCAACCCAAAACCCUGAUUCACCAUCCUGGAGGGCAUUUGGAUGGCCAUAGUAGUGUCCCUCUUCCCAGUUCUGCCCAACAUGGCUUGCCUCUGCUGACGGAGCUCUACCAUCUGGAGAAAAGUCCAACUGGCAAGAAUAUUACCAAUGGACCCAACCAAAUGGAUAGUGGGGAGAAAUAACCAAUGGGGCAUUUUGAAGGUGGAGAGCUGGGGAGGCUGGUCCAACUCUUGAGGAAACAAUAGUUGGCAAAAGUAGACAUAGGGCAUUGCUGGGAAGGGGCACUGCUUGUGCUUCAAUACAAUUUCAUUCAAGAAGAAUAAAUGAAUGAGUGCUCUCCAUCCAGUGGAUCUUAGGGAUUCAUCGGUUGAAGGCUGGUGUGUGAGUGGUUUUGAUGGGCAAAACUGCUUGGUUAUUAUGGUUAGUCCUACCAUUAAGUAGAGUGAGGUAGGCACAUGAGUCAGUUGAUAUGGGGUGCCAUGGAAAGGCAGCAAACUGUUUAUAAUUUAAUAAGUUGAAAACAUUGCCAUUGAAGUUAGAACUCUUGGAGCAUGCUGUCCAUCAGAUUAUAGGAGACUGGUGUCUAGCAAAGUUGGGGAGGAAACUGUUUUGCAUGCUCCAAACCAGCAGUGUGGUUAGUGAAAAGACACAUGGAAACUUGGGGUGGUAUUCAAUUAAGUUUUACUCACGAUAGAUCCAUUGAACUUAGUGGACAUGACUGAGUUAGUGCAAUUAAUUUCAAUAGGUCUACUUUGAGCAAAACCCUAGUUCUAUUUUGAAAAUGCUUCUGCCCUAGCUGGUACCCAGAGUUCUGGGGCAGGCAGAUAUUUGCUGGGGUGGCAUUUGGUGAAAUCCCUCCAUUUGCAUUGCAAUAAGAAGCUGAACUUGACAGCCUUUUGAUCUUUUCCAUCUUUAUGAUUCUGCCAUAUAUAUCCUCAGAUCAUUUUCCAUAUCCUAUUAAUGGUCUGGAUAUGCAAUCAAUGUUUGAUGAAAGACUAAGUCAGUUAUCCUCCACUUUCUUGCUCCCAUGUUACAUUACAUAUUAAAGAUCAAUAUGGUCUAUUGACUGAGAAAUAAGGAGUCAGUGACAUUUCAUAUCUUUUUGAAUCUAAUAUUCAUGCUGCUGCUUCAAAUCAUGACAGGCAUAUACUUUCAUUUGGUUGUACUGGAAACAUUUUACAUUCCAAGUCUUUUUUUUUUUUUUUGUCAUGUCCAGUCAAUGGUUUUUCACUUGAUUCUUUCAAUUAGCUGACUUCUUUGUGGAAAGGUGCCAGAAAAAACAAUUUGCCUGGAUCUAAAUUGCAUUCCUCAGACUGCCCUCGCUUGAGAUUGAUUGCUAGUAUUUGUAUUCCACUUUUCAUCCCAAAGCGGCUGACAAACAAUAAAUAGCAAUAACAAAACAGAGCAUAAUAGAAUAUCACAAGUGCAGCAUAAGUCAUAUAAAUCACCAGUAAGACAAAUAUUACCUAUACAACACCACUGGGCAAAAGCGACAACAAUUUGACAUGGAUGACAAUGACUUUAGAGCCUGGUUAUACAAUUGGCAGCAUCACGCCUUUCACCGGGCUGUACCACUUCAGGAUAGGGAAGUCAGAACUAGCAUCUUAGGAAGAAGGGAGGAGGGAGAACCUGACUGAUAAGGUUGGUAAAAGGUAAAGGACCCCUGACACUUAAGUCCAGUCGCAAACGACUCUGGGGUUGCAGCGCUCAUCUCACUUUACUGGCCGAGGGAGCCGAUGUUUGUCCGCAGACAGUUUUUCUGGGUCAUAUGGCAAGCAUGACUAAGCCGCUUCUGGCGGAACCAGAGCAGUGCAUGGAAACACCAUUUACCUUCCCGCCGGAGCGGUACCUAUUUAUCUACUUGCACUUUGACAUGCUUUCGAACUGCUAGGUUGGCAGGAGCUGGGACCGAGCAACGGGAGCUCACCCCGUCGCGGGGAUUCAAACCGCCGACCUUCUGAUCAGCAAGUCUUAGGCUCAGUGGUCUAGACCACAGCGCCACCUGUGUCCUGGUACCUCAUGUUGGUACCAGGUUGGUACCUUGUGUGAAAUGAUUUGGGAGACUUUGACUGUGCUAGAGAAGAAACAAGAAGGGAGGGCAAAAGGUUUAAGAGGCUACCUUAUGCGGUGGCAAUGUAAAAUUAUC